rnacentral:tRNA from 1 species
GGGGGUAUGGCUCAGUGGCAGAGCAUCUGCUUUGUAUGCAGAAGGUCCGAGGUUCUGUACCUGGCAUCUCUA